rnacentral:lncRNA from 1 species
UGGAUAUUUUGCUUAAUAGACAUGCUCUUCCAGUAUCUAGCGUCAAAGAAAAAACGGACUUCGUCAGGGAACCGAUGUCUGAAACUGGAAUCGAAGGGUUCAUGAACAUGUUUCUUGAGGAAGAAGCUGACUUUGCUAUAACGAUGAUAGAGGCUUUCGGAGGCAGAAUGGAUGAAAUCCGGGAAAAUGAAUUACCUUACCCACAUAGAGCAGGCAUCUUGUUCGAAUCCACUUACAUUGUCCAAUGGACAAAUGAAGCAGAUGCGGGAACGUACAUAAACUGGAUCCGAAGACUCUACAGUUAUAUGGCCAGUUAUGCUUCCAAGUCUCCGAGAGAAGCAUAUUAUAAUUACAAGGAUCUAGAUCUUGGAACUAACAACAUUAUUGGUUACACAAGUUACGAACAAGCUAGCGUUUGGGGUCUUAAAUAUUUCAAGAAUAACUUCAAAAGAUUGGUGCAAGUAAAGACCAAGGUUGAUCCAAUGAAUUUCUUUAGAAACGAGCAAAGUAUCCCUCCGCUUUGAUCUCUAUGAAAGAAGAAAGGUCGUCAGGGUUGAAGAUUUUAGAGUUUUUUUUUUAAUGAAAUAAUAUUUGGGUGAAAAGUAAUACUAUAUUGUAAAAUAAAUUGUUUCUUUGUCAUUAUAUAUGUCAUGAUGAAUAAUUUAGUGCAUAAUGUAUUAAUUAAAUUAUAAAUUUAUCUUUAUUCUAAAAUAGUUUUUGUGCGGUGAUUAUACUUGAAAGGUCCCUGCAUUACAGGGAUUGGAUCACAUGGUUUGUCAUUUUAAUUUUUUAUUCAAUAAAAAUUUCAAUAAGAAAAAGGAGUUGAAUAAGAUAAUAGGUGUGGGGUAUGCCUGGCAUUUUCGGACCUUUUAGGCACUUACUGUUACCCCUAUCGCGACACGAGGACUUCAAAAACGCAACAUGCCCAACAGACGAUGACAUCAUAACGAGGAGGUUUCCGACGUCACAAUGACACAGUGUCACGACAACGGACGACAUCAUGGUGAGAUGAUUUAGGACAUUGUGACAUGGCGACGUGUUCCCACAUAAAUCAGGUUUCAUUUCCCAGUUAAACUCUGCUACCUUUUCCAGUCAAACUUAGAUUAUUUUAGAGAUAUUUUAGUCAGAUAUUCACACUAAUUUCAACCUAUAUAAGGACUUUAGUAACCCUACAAUCGACAUCUUCAUCAUAUUAAGAUUAAGAGAAGAUUAAGAGAGUUUUUGAAAGAGUUUAAGGGAAUUUCUUAUUUUAGCCAGAGAACUUUAUUUUUUAGGAUUCAGGGUUUUCUGUUUUGGUUAUCUCCAUCUUGUACUCUUCGUUUAUUUGCUCAUUAAGUAAAGCCUAUUUUGCCUGUGAUUUUUUUAUCAUCUCCAAAGGGAUUUUUCCAUGUAAAUAUUUGUGUAUCCAAUUUUAUUUUUCUCUUUUUUGUUGCGUAUUGAUCCACAAUAAACUGGCAUUAGAGCUUAGUUCAUUUUUCACAAUCAAUUCGUUCAGGGAUGACAAUGAGAUAUAAUAUCGAGAAGUUCGAUGGCAUCACAAAUUUCAGUUUAUGGCAAGUAUGGAUGAUAGUUAUUUUGGUUCAGUAUGGCCUGAAAAAGGUCAUUACAGGGAAAAAGCCCGCAUAUAUGAAUCAGUUAGAAUGGGAUAAGCUUGAUAAGAAGACUUUGUCAGCAAUUCAGUUGUGCCUCACAAACAAUAUGUUGCAGGAGAUGUUUACAGAGAAAACGAUAGCAGCCUUAUAAAUGGAGUAAGUUAGAAACCCUAUACAUAACCAAGUUUCUAGCAGAUCGAUUGGUGUUGAAACAACACCUUUACACGUUUCGUAUAGCCGAAGGUGAGUACCUUAAUGGUCACAUUAGUCAAUUUGUUACUCUCUUGAAUGAUCUUAAAAAUGUCGAGGUUAAUAUAGAUGAUGAAGAUCAGACUAUGCUAUUAUUGUGCUAUUUGCCCCUCGUAUAAGUCUUUCAAGGAGACAUUGAUUUAUAGUAGAGAUAAACUCUCGUUCGAGGAAGCAAAAGGAAACUUGUUGAGCAAAGACAGACUUGACAAUGAGUUUGAUUCGGAUAGCAAGUCAAAUGAGCAAGCCUCGGUUUUGGUUGCAAGAAGCAAGAAAGAAUCAAAGUCAAGGAAUCGAGACAAAACAUGUGGCUACUGCAAGAAGUUAGGUCACAUUAAGACAAAGUGUUUGCAAAAAAUCAAAUGCUAGUUCAUUGUAUGCAUGACUUUUUUAGAUGUAUGAUUCUGAUUGGUACAUAAAUAUAUAAUAUACAUGACAUGCAUAUAUUUUUACAAUCAUGAAAAAGAGAAAGAAAGAAGUUAAUGAAAUUUUAAGCAAUGCAAGGAAAUAAUGUUUCAGUUGGUGCCUCAAGCCAAAAACACAUGUUUGUUCGAUGAUUUGAAAUCCAAAUAACCAUGUCUAUUUUGUAAACUUCCAUACAUGAAAAGUUAUGACUUGUCAAAAGGCACUUGUGUACUUAUUGGUACAUUAUAUAGAGUUGUUUGGUUGGAGUUGAAUUAAUUUAAUUCAUUCAAUCCAAUUUCUGAGUGAAAUUUUUAGUACAAAAAUAUUCUUUCUUUUUAAUGAUAUUCAAUUUGAGAUAUGAUAUUAUUUAUUUAUUUAAAUAAUGAUAUUAGUAACCAACAUUUGGAUAAUAUAGAUGAGACAUCAUUUUCAUUGUUAAAAAUGAAAGUUUGUAGAUGAUCAUAUAAUAUAAAUGAUUUUAGUUGUUGUUUUUAUUAAAUAACCUUAAGCUAAACGAGUUUUAUAAAUGAUUGCACAUUUUUUAUUCUAUAUCAUAAAGUUUGGACUAGAAGUGAUUUUGACUAGAAAAGAAUUAAGUUAUAUGCAUAUGUAUGGUUAAUUUUUCUAAUCAAUGUAGAAUAGUGGAAAAUUUGGCUUAUAUAAUAAUAUCAUUAUUCUGAUAUGAAAUUUUCUAGUGAGAAUAUAUAACGUGAUAAUCAUAUAUUUAAAAUCGAGAUCAUAUUGUGCAUAUUUAUAAUGGUGCAUAUGGUUUUUGUACAUGGCUUGGAUAUAAUCCAUGGUCUCACGAUUCUAUAAAAUUUGAGAUGUAGUAAAUUUCAAAAUUCACUUUCAAAGUCACGAAUAAAAAAAUAUCAUGAGUAUGAAAUUACAAUAUGACUGCUAUUUGACCCAUUUUUAGGUGAUGGACCUGAUUUUGAUCAUAGUCAGAAAAUAAUUGAUAAUACCCAUGGUGAAUAAAUGUAUGAUUUUAUAGUUGACUGGACAAUUGAUGGUAUAUUAGUGUGACUAUAUAUGUUACACCCUUGUAUAUAUAAGGUGUGUUGAGAAAAAUAAUGUUAUUUGACUAUGAAUGAAAAAAAUUAAAGUCAUCUACUGAUUUUGAAAAUAAACUAUGACAAAUAACAAAUAUGUUGUCCAGUUUCACCAAGAGAUUUAUGGCCUGUUAACAGCAACUUACUUUGUGAAGAAUACAUGAUUUAUGGUUUCAUAUAUUUGGUUAUUGUGAAAUUAAUUUCUUGAACAUUAAGAAAUAAAUAAACUAGUCAAAUAUGAUAAGAAAAGAUAAAGUGAUCACUAUAAUUUGACAAUAGUAAAAAUGAUAUUCUUGAUAGCAUUUUUUUGCUAAAAGAAUGAGUAAUUGAACAUAGUGAGGAUGUUGGUCUUCUAAAUUUUUAAGACAUAAAUAAAUAUUAUAAAGUUUCACCAUGUGAUAUAGAUAGUUAACAUAACUAUGUUGAAAUUUUGGAAAUUGAGAGAUGAGGUUCAAGCCUAUAAUAUUUGAGUCGCCAAUGAUGGAAACUCAACUCAACGCUUGGUAUAACGUCAAGUCCUGAGUUCAAUAAGGUAAAGUACAUCAUCAAUAUGUGGCUACUAGCACUAUAAAAAAUAUAUAUUACAAUGAUUAUCUUUGAAACGAUACCAAAUAUGAUAUUAAGAGAUGAUCCUAUCUAUCUACCAAAUCUCAUAAUUCAAUACUUUUAUGGAUUUUAGACGAAAAUUAAAAUUUAACUACUCAUAAUUAAAGAAUACUAAAAUAAAACUCAAAUAACAAUGGCCCUGGUCUCUUCGGGUGCGCCCCUCUCCGUACGUCUAUUAUUAUUAAAACCUAAUUAAGUAGCUGUGGCGGCCCCCAAUUUUGACGAAAAUAAUGAUAAUAAUAUCCAAUGACCCUAAAAAUAAGGGUAAUAUUAAAACCAAGAAAGAAAAUUUUAAAGAUAAAUAUUCUAAUCAAAAUUAGGUUAGUGGAAUUUAAAAAUAUAUAUUAGAGUUGAAUACAAAUAAUAAAUAACUUCAAAAUUCAUUAGAAAAUUUAAGAAUUUCAUCGCAAAUCGUAAUAAUUUUAUUUUAUUUAAUAUAUAUUUUUAAAUGGUUUGACUGUUAAGGGUGUUCACCGCCUUAGAUGUGAGUUGGGUUUAAGUCAUGUUAGUCGCGUUGAUUGUUCGAGUUUUACCAUAUUAUCAUAAUUCACCAAAAAAAUUCGAAAAUUGUGUAUAAAAUUGGUAUCUGCCUUUUUAAAUUAAACUUCGAUGCACUAAACACGGUAUUAAGUAAAUUGGUAUUGUUUAGAGCAUUUUGUUUUCGCUAGGAGUAGACUUUGACAAAGUAAAUGGAAUAAUGAAUAUAAAACUUCUCCAACAUAGUUAUAAAUAAGUGUAACACAUUUCCAUACUCACAGCCAACUUAAGAACAUGAAAUUCCUUCAACUUUCUGUGCUUCCAUUUCUUAUUGUGAUAUUGUCAUUGAAUGGGGCAACUUUAGCUCAUCCUUAUGGAGAUUUCCUUCAUUGCCUUUCUCUCGUAUAUCAAACUCUUCUACUAUUUCUAAAGUUAUUUACACCCAAAAUAAUCCCUCCUAUUCAUCGGUUUUGAAUGCUUCUAUUCAUAAUUCCAGGUUCUCUACACCAACCACCCCUAAACCCUAUGCCAUUAUUACACCACUCAAAACAUCCCAUGUCCAAUCAACAAUUUAUUGUUCCAAAAACCAUGGCUUCCAACUUAGGAUUCGAAGUGGUGGUCAUGAUGUUGAGGGUGUUUCUUAUGUUUCUCAGGUUCCAUUUGUCAUCCUUGAUUUGGUCAACUUUCGAGAUGUCAAAGUUGACACAAAAAAUGAAGUUGCCUGGGUUCAAUCUGGUGCAACUACAGGUGAAUUAUAUUAUGGGAUUGCUUCGAAGACACAGACGCUCGGCUUUCCUGCUGGUAUUUGCCACACUAUAGGCAUUGGUGGGCAUUUAAGUGGGGGUGGAUUUGGCAUAUUGGGCCGCAAAUAUGGUCUUGCUGCUGACCAUAUAAUUGAUGCUAAAAUGAUUGAUGCUAAUGGAAGGGUCUUUCAUCGAAAAUCCAUGGGUGAAGAUUUGUUUUGGGCUAUCCGAGGAGGUGGAGGAAAUACCUUUGGAGUUGUUGUUGCUUGGAAAAUAAAGUUAGUCGCUGUUCCACCUGUUGUAACUGUGUUUACAGUUAACAAGAACUUGGAACAAAAUGCAACCAAAAUCUUCCAUCGAUGGCAAAACAUUGCUCACAAGUUACCCAAGGAUUUAUUUACGUCUGUUUGGGUAAUGAAGGUGAAUUCCAGUCAAGUAGGGAAGAAAACAGUUCAAGCUUCUUUUAAAGGCAUGUUUCUUGGUAGGAUUGAUGUGUUGAUUCCAUUGAUCCAAUACUCGUUUCCAGAGCUAGGACUUGCCAGAGAGAAUUGUACCGAAAUGAGUUGGGUUCAAUCUGUUCUUUACUAUGGAGCACUUCCAAUUGAACCUGUGGAGAUUUUGCUUAAUAGAAGUGCUCUUCCAAGAUUAAGUCUCAAAGCCAAAACGGACUACAUCAGGGAACCGAUGUCCGAAACUGGAAUCGAAGGGUUCAUGAACAUGUUUCUUGAGGAAGGAACUGACUUUGCUAUAACGAUGAUAGAGGCUUUCGGAGGCAAAAUGGAUGAAAUCCGGGAAAGUGAAAUACCUUUCCCACAUAGAUCAGGC